CUUAAAUUGAAGAGUUUGAUCAUGGCUCAGAUUGAACGCUGGCGGCAGGCCUAACACAUGCAAGUCGAGCGGUAGCACAGAAGAGCUUGCUCUUUGGGUGACGAGCGGCGGACGGGUGAGUAAUGUCUGGGAAACUGCCUGAUGGAGGGGGAUAACUACUGGAAACGGUAGCUAAUACCGCAUAACCUCGCAAGAGCAAAGAGGGGGACCUUCGGGCCUCUCGCCAUCAGAUGUGCCCAGAUGGGAUUAGCUAGUAGGUGAGGUAAUGGCUCACCUAGGCGACGAUCCCUAGCUGGUCUGAGAGGAUGACCAGCCACACUGGAACUGAGACACGGUCCAGACUCCUACGGGAGGCAGCAGUGGGGAAUAUUGCACAAUGGGCGCAAGCCUGAUGCAGCCAUGCCGCGUGUGUGAAGAAGGCCUUCGGGUUGUAAAGCACUUUCAGCGGGGAGGAAGGCGGU
rnacentral:rRNA from 2 species